rnacentral:rRNA from 1 species
UACGUAGGGGGCAAGCGUUGUCCGGAAUCAUUGGGCGUAAAGAGCGUGUAGGCGGCCAGAAAAGUCCGCUGUGAAAACUCGAGGCUCAACUUCGAGCUGUCGGUGGAAACUUUCUGGCUAGAGUCCGGAAGGGGAGACUGGAAUUCCUGGUGUAGCGGUGAAAUGCGCAGAUAUCAGGAGGAACACCGGUGGCGAAGGCGGGUCUCUGGGCCGAUACUGACGCUGAGGAGCGAAAGCGUGGGGAGCGAACAGG